rnacentral:lncRNA from 1 species
CCUACGACGGCCGUCAUUCGUGGCGAAGGAGAAAACAUCUUCCAUUCGGCCUGAACAGUGACGAAGUGGACGUUUUGUUUUUCGGCGGAAUGCAUCGUCAACAUGGUCCAUCUACUACGUAAACGAAACGGCGUGCCCAGAGUACACAUCGUGACAGCGCUCCGCCUUCAAACCGAGGGCCUUUUGCAAGGCGCAUGGACUGCUCAUAUAAAAGUUACAGUCAGCAUGAAGCAAUUGCAUGGGAACCGACUGGCUGUCUUGGGCCUACACAUUGCUGAAAAGACAGUGAAGAUGUCUGAGCCGACAGGCAGAAAAGAAGCAGAUGGCUACAGCGAUCAAUGAAGAAAUGGCUUCAUCUAUGAUGGCUCGCCUUAGGACAUUGGAAUGGAGCUACACAAAGGCAUCAUCAUCCUCGCCUGUGCCCUGGAACUUCGGUUUGAAUGAGACUGUUCUUCAACGUAGAACGGCCACAAGACUUGUCACCACAUACAAGGCAUAGUGCAAGCUCUAAAUAUUGUACAGGAGGCUAGAAUAAAUGACCCUCCAUGCAGUCA